rnacentral:rRNA from 1 species
AGCGAACGCUGGCGGCAGGCUUAACACAUGCAAGUCGAGCGGGCAUAGCAAUAUGUCAGCGGCAGACGGGUGAGUAACGCGUGGGAACGUACCUUUUGGUUCGGAACAACUGAGGGAAACUUCAGCUAAUACCGGAUAAGCCCUUACGGGGAAAGAUUUAUCGCCGAAAGAUCGGCCCGCGUCUGAUUAGCUAGUUGGUGAGGUAAUGGCUCACCAAGGCGACGAUCAGUAGCUGGUCUGAGAGGAUGAUCAGCCACAUUGGGACUGAGACACGGCCCAAACUCCUACGGGAGGCAGCAGUGGGGAAUAUUGGACAAUGGGCGCAAGCCUGAUCCAGCCAUGCCGCGUGAGUGAUGAAGGCCCUAGGGUUGUAAAGCUCUUUUGUGCGGGAAGAUAAUGACGGUACCGCAAGAAUAAGCCCCGGCUAACUUCGUGCCAGCCGCCGCGGUAA